GAGGCUGGGGAAAAUCAGCAGGGGGUGUCCCUGGGGGCGGAGACCCCCCAACUCCAGCCAGGCAAGCUAAUCAGUCUCCCUCCCAACACACACACACCCGCAGCUGCCUCACCCACCCACCGCACCCGGGCAGACACACAGCGGUCCGGCAAUUCCCAAAGCGGGAGAGAACCGUGCGUUUUCCAGCCGGCUCUGAGCGGAGGGAGGAAGAGGGGAUGAGGAUGGACAGGCAGCACCCCCCGCAGGCGGGCCAAGUCGAAAUCAUGGAAAUGGCACGGUGUUGGUUAUUCCGGCGAACUGAGCUAGAAGCUGCGGGCUGUUACCCAAGAGCGACAUCUGCCGAGGUCCCAGGAGUAAGGUUUGCCAUGUUAGGAAGCGUCGCCCUGGGGCGCUGAAGCAGCCGACGGGAGUCACCGCUAAGGCACGAACGGAUUAUUUUGUAAAGUGUAGGGUUUCCUUUUUUAUUUUUUUAUUUAAAGAGAGUGUCAGAGAUUUGAAAGCGUUUUAAGGAACUUUCUCUCAGUUAAAUGGCAACAGCCCAGUAAGGCAGGCAACUUGGGAAUGUUUCCAUUUAUGGCUGAGAAACAGAUUCAGAGAAGUUUUGUCCAGCUCCAAGUCAAGCAAAGGGUAAAAUCCAGCCACAGAACGCAAGGCUGCAUCUACAGGAUGCUCUCUACUCCCCACAGCAAGUUCCUCACCUCUCAGUUAUCACAGAAGCGAUUCUACCGGCAAUGAUUACCCCCAUAAUGUCAGACUGUUGGAUUUCAUGUGUCCGUUUUACCCUGGCCUCUCUAUAUAAAGACCAGUAUGGAAAAUAACAAGGAAUGCUAUAAGAAACAAAGUUUGAAACGGGAAAGACUGAGUCACAGUUUCAAUAUUUAUCUGAAGACUUCAUCAUGAAGUAACAACAUUCUUUCUGCCAAAGAAAAUCCCUCCCAUCCUUGAAGGCCCGGCUGCCCGGCUCAGAAUUACUCUGGGAGUCCUGGUGCCCUGGCGCCUGCCUGCCAGCUGGCCUGCACUCCUGCAACCCCUGUGCUUCUGUAGCACGUUUCACUGCUUCUUUGUUUUCUGUUUUGAGGUGGAGCUGGCACGAGCACUAGAAAUAUACAUUCAUAUUUUUACUACAUAUAAAAUGACUCUCCAUCUCUUUUUCCCAUAUAGCUUUUUUCUCUACUUAAAUUUAACCUUCAAACUUAUUGAAAAUGACUAUUGAAACACUCGGUGUGGUUGUGCAUGUUAAAUCACUUAAAAGUCUGACAUUCAAAUGUCUACAAAGACUAGAUAAGGAGUCUAAAUGAAUAAAGUAAGCUCAAGUACAGGCA
rnacentral:lncRNA from 1 species